rnacentral:misc_RNA from 1 species
CAGAGAUCAUGCCCUUCGGGGUAGACCUCCCACCCUGUGUUAUUUACUCUUGUUGCUUUGGCAGGCCGCCUUCGGGCUCCCGGCUUCGGCUGGGGCGCGCCUGCCAGAGGACCCCAAACCCUGAAUAUCAGUGUCGUCUGAGUACUAUAUAAUAGUUA